rnacentral:lncRNA from 1 species
UGAGGUCUGCUCCUGGGUGGGCUUUUGUGUGCCCUGUUCCUCAGGAAGGGGUAAGCAGUGCUGGGGUUAUUUGCUAGAUGGAGUGCGUUUGUGUUUCUUGGCUUCCUGAAAGCUGUGUCUGUCUUUUUCACUGCCGGCUGGAGAGACUCGGGGGAGAAAGCGUUGUGCUUGAUGGCACGGUUUCCUUGGGCAAAGGAUGCUUUGGCAGCAGAGGUUUGCUGUCAGGAGGCAUGAAAGCACUGAAGCCAAUGCUGCCGUGCCCUGGGCCCAGAGACAUCAGCUCCCAGCACGUCCCUGGCGGUGGAUGUGCGCAAGCUCUGUGUCUGCCGGUGGUUGCUCCAAAGGCUUUGUGGUCAGCUGUGCGUGGCUGUUUUGCUCUUGAGGGUGUGGGAACAGAGGGCAACACGCUGAUGGGAGUGAUGGUGUCCUGCUCAGCAAAGGAUGUGCUGGGUGGCAGAAGAGGAUUCUUGGCCGAGCGUGGAAAAUCUCUCUGCUCCUUCCUGAAGGACGCAAUCUUCCACUUGGAAAGGGCCUCCCAAGGAUCCCUGGUAUCCUGUGAGAGCUCUGAGCUGCCGCACCAAUUUGAAGCUGACUUCAUUUUUGGUCUUCCCCUUCAGCAGAAAAGCUCAGACAGCUGAGCCAAGCGAGACGCUGGAUUUCCUUUGGCAUCAAGGAAAGCAUCGUGAGAUGUUCUGAUGCCCUCUCACAAUUCUUUCUCCCUCCGCCAGCACCAGAGCUGGCGUCCAAAGACGCAAUGACACUGCCACAGGCAUUGUGGAGAUUUCUAUGGGAUAGGGCCAUGGUAAGGCUUUAUUGACAGAGGGAGGGACAAUGAAGAUUGGAUGUCAGGGAGAAGGUCUUUCCAGAGACGGUGGUGAGAUGCUGGAAGCGGAUGCCCAGAGAGCUUGUGGACGCCGCGUCCGUGGCAGUGUUGAAGGCCAGGUUGGAUUGGGCACUCGGCAGCCUAGUCUAGGAUUAGAUAUGAUGCAGAUGGGAUUCAAGCAUCUGUUUUGCAGCCAGCUCGAGUGGAGCUCUUGGAGCUCAUGGGCGCCCCAUGCCCGCAUCAGCGUGGGUAGUGUGUGCCCUUCCUGCGCGGUGGGGCUUUGGUGUUUGGAGGCUGAUGCUGAGGAGACUGUGUUUCUUCGUUUAUCGGUGGCAGAAAUCCAGCUCUGUCAGCAGAGGACUCCUGCGGCUGGCUGGCCUCAGCCUGAGAUGUUGAUGCUUCCAUCUCCUCAGGUUCUUUCUGCCUGCUCUUCUUAGCCCUGCGCCUGAGAAGUCUGACUGAGUCGCAUGCCAGAAGUGGAAGCCGGGAUGGAGUGCCUUGCGAUGCCUGCGACGGGCUGGACUGAGCCCUUGAGGAAGGUCUGGAAUCGUUGCUGAAAGAUUCGUUGGCUUUGGGCAACUU